AGAAUCAACGCUGGCGGCGUGCCUCAGACAUGCAAGUCGAACGCGAAAGUCCCCUUCGGGGGACAAGUAGAGUGGCGCACGGGUGAGUAACACGUAGGUAAUCUACCUUCGGAUGGGGAAUAACAACCGGAAACGGUUGCUAAUACCGCAUAAUGCAGCGGCACCUAAUGGUGACAGUUGUUAAAGCGGGGGAUCGAAAGACCUCGCGUCUGAAGAGGAGCCUGCGGCGGAUUAGCUAGUUGGUAGGGUAACGGCUACCAAGGCGACGAUCC
rnacentral:rRNA from 1 species